rnacentral:rRNA from 1 species
GGCACGGGGGGCCUACGGGAGGCAGCAGUAGGGAAUUUUGCGCAAUGGGGGAAACCCUGACGCAGCAACGCCAUGUGUGGGAUGAAGCAUUUCGGUGUGUAAACCACUGUCAGCGGGGAAUAAACGGCAGCUUCGGGCUGCUUUGAAUGUACCCGCAAAGGAAGCCCCGGCUAACUUCGUGCCAGCACCCGCGG